CGUAGGGCGAGCGUUGUCCGGAAUUAUUGGGCGUAAAGGGCGCGCAGGCGGUCUCUUAAGUCUGAUGUGAAAGGCCACGGCUCAACCGUGGGAUGGCAUUGGAAACUGGGGACUUGAGUGCAGGAGAGGGAGCGGAAUUCCCGGUGUAGCGGUGAAAUGCGUAGAGAUCGGGAGGAACACCAGUGGCGAAGGCGGCUCUCUGGCCUGUAACUGACGCUGAGGCGCGAAAGCGUGGGGAGCGAACAGGAUU
rnacentral:rRNA from 1 species